rnacentral:sRNA from 1 species
CCCUAGCCCUGAUGGGAACGGCAUCAUUUUAUGGUGGUCCCGAGGCUUCGGGAUCCAUAAAAGAUACAGUGGACAGCAGGAAACAGC